AUUCGCAGAAGCUAAAUCGGCAAUCCGAUCUCCGUAACGUCUCAACCUUCCGUUAAUGCGUGCCUAACUCCAAAUUUUUCGUGAUUAUCGCUCUUCGUACACCGCAGCAAAUGGCCGAAGCUUCAAGUCUAAAUAUCUCACCCUUCAACGAUGGACAGCGCAACUCAAACACGACCCAGAAGAAUAUUUUGUUCUAACACCCGAUUCCGACGAUGGCGACUUCAUACACUCUCCUUGUCGAUUCGAAAGCCGGUUGCUGCUCUAACACUGCGGAGGUUCGUUCAGAUUUGUUAUCCUCAUUGUAAUUUGUGUGUGUGUGUGUGUCUAUAGUUUGUAGAUUGUGGUUUAGUGGAUCAACAUGGAUUUUCAAGGAACAAAAUCAGGGUAAUCGAUGACAAUAUACCUCCUCUUUCUUAAAAAAAAAAAAUCAUUAGUUUAUAUACCUCUCAAACCAUCAGAGGAGGACUUAAAUCAAUGGCCUGACAGGUAUAGGUAAACCAUCAUCAUGCAUUUUAUGCUCUUUAUCUUUAUAUAUUCUGAAUUCUGUGUGUGUGUUUCCUUUUUGGCGUUCCGGGUUUCACUUGCUAUAGAUGGCGACUCAACAUUGAUUUCUUUAGAAACGUCAAAGGCAAGCCCUCAGAUUGAAGGGUUAGAAACAUUUGACUACUUGGAGAACCUCAGAAAAAAAUUCUUUUGACAGAACAAGGCGACAGUAAAAACCUUUGAAUCUGAGAUGGACCGGGCUUACCUUGGAUCGCCCAAAGUCGUAGCAGUUCUGGACCAUGAAUGGAAAAGAACAUAUGUUACGGGAAAAGAAGGACUUCUAGACACGGUAAAGAAUCAUAUACCGUGAUAUGGGUUUCAUUAGUUAUGAUAGUGAUGAUGCAGUUGUAUGAAAACCAUGGGAGAACUCAAAAACUAUGGUGGAUUUAGGGGACGAUAAGUACAAAAGCAUACUUUGUGUGGAUGUUAAUUACUUUGAACCAAUGAGAAGAAGGAUCAGCCGGCUUAUAUUAAUCGCUGUUAAGUCCAGUUUCUGCUUUGAUCAACUUGAACUAUAGAGCAAAGGAUUCAGAUUCUGUAUGUUUAAGAAUUCCAUCCUAAAAAAUAUCAAGCUUAUUCCUCUGCACGAUCUUUGCACAUUUUUAUACUGCAACAUUGGAAAAACAGAAUUGUUUCUUCUCUAUUUUGUUUUCAUGUUUGUCCUCAUUUUCUCAGUAGGGAAGUUUAUUAGCCGGUGAGUUCUUACCCCGGUCUUGGUGAUGUAGAGACUAAACAAAAAGCCUCUGUUAUUUUUAUAAUGUAUAAAAUCAUAGAUAUUGUGUUUUCA